rnacentral:rRNA from 1 species
GUGGAUGCGCAUGCUAUACUGCAGUCGAGCGAACGGACCAGCAGCUGGGUUCUCUGAUGUUAGCGGCGGACGGGUGAGUAACAGGUGGAUAACCUACCUUUAACACCGGGAUAACUUCGGGAAACCGGAGCUAAUACGGGAUAAUAUUUUGAACCGCAUGGUUCAAAAGUGAAAGACGGUCUUGCUGUCACUUAUGGAUGGAUCCGCGCUGCCCUAGCUAGUUGGUAAGGUAACGGCUUACCAAGGCCACGAUGGGAGCCAACCUGAGAGGGUGAUCGGCCACACUGGAACUGAGACACGGUCCAGACCCCCACGGGAGGCAGCAGUAGGGAAUCUUCCGCAGUGGGCGAAAGCCUGACAGAGCAACGCCGCGCGAGUGAUGAAGGUCUUCGGAUCGUAUAACUCUGUUAUUAGGGAAGAACAUAUAUGUAAGUAACUGUGCACAUCUGGACGGUCCCUAAUCAUAACGCCACGGCAAACUACGUGCCAGCACCCGCGGUCAUACGUAUGUAGCCAGCGUUAUCCGGAAUUAUCGGGCGUAAAGGGCGGGUAGGCGGUUUUUUAAGUCUGAUGUGAAAGCCCACGGCUCACCCGUGCAGGGUCAUUGGAGACUGGAGAACUUGAGUGCACAAGAGGACAGUGGAAUUCCGUGUGUAGCGGUGAAAUGCGCAGAGAUGUGGAGGAACACCAGUGGCGAACGCGACUUUCUGGUCUGUAACUGACGCUUAUGUGCGAAAGCGUGGGGAUCAGACAGGAUUAGAUACCCUGGUAGUCCACGCCAUACACCAUCAGUGCUGAGUGUUGGGGGGUUUCCGCCCCUUAGUGCUGCAUCUACGCACUAAGCACUCCUCCAGGGGAGUACUACCGCGGGUUGAGACUCAUAGGAAUUGACAGACACUCGCACAAGCGUGGAGCACGUGGUUUAAUUCGAGCAACGCGAGAACUUACAAUCUGACUCCUUGACACUCUGAGAUGAGUCAUCUCUUCGGUCGACAUAGUGACAGUGUGCAGGUGUCGUCUCUCGCGUCGUGAGAUGUCGGUUAAAUCCCGCUAACACCGCAACCGUGAUCUAGUGCCAUCAUUUACCUGGUCCUCUUAGAUGACUGCCGGUCACCACAGAGAAGGUGGGGAGAUGAGUGUAUUCAUCAUGCCCCUUAACACUCUGACAACCGGUCUCACAUCGUAAUAACAGAGUAUCUAACCCCGAUCAGCAGUUCGAUGAGCACCU